rnacentral:rRNA from 1 species
AUUACCGCGGCUGCUGGCACGAAGUUAGCCGGAGCUUCUUCUACGGGUACCGUCAUUAUCGUCCCCGUCGAAAGAGUUUUACAACCCGAAGGCCUUCAUCACUCACGCGGCAUGGCUGGAUCAGGUUUCCCCCAUUGUCCAAGAUUCCCAACUGCUGCCUCCCGUANG